rnacentral:rRNA from 1 species
UACGUAGGGGGCUAGCGUUGUCCGGAAUCAUUGGGCGUAAAGAGCGUGUAGGCGGUCCGGUAAGUCCGCUGUGAAAGUCGGGGGCUCAACCCUCGAAUGCCGGUGGAUACUGUCGGGCUAGAGUGCGGAAGAGGCGAGUGGAAUUCCUGGUGUAGCGGUGAAAUGCGUAGAGAUCGGGAGGAACACCAGAGGCGAAGGCGGCGACCUGGACAGCUACUGACACUCAACUACGAAAGCGUGGGGAGCAAACAGG